rnacentral:rRNA from 1 species
CCUACGGGAGACAGCAGUGGGGAAUAUUGCACAAUGGGGGAAACCCUGAUGCAGCGACGCCGCGUGAGUGAAGAAGUAUUUCGGUAUGUAAAGCUCUAUCAGCAGGGAAGAAAAUGACGGUACCUGAUUAAGAAGCCCCGGCUAACUACGUGCCAGCAGCCGCGGUCAUACGUAGGGGGCAAGCGUUAUCCGGAUUUACUGGGUGUAAAGGGAGCGUAGACGGCAGCGCAAGUCUGAAGUGAAAUGCCGGGGCUUAACCCCGGAACUGCUUUGGAAACUGUGCAGCUAGAGUGCAGGAGAGGUAAGUGGAAUUCCUAGUGUAGCGGUGAAAUGCGUAGAUAUUAGGAGGAACACCAGUGGCGAAGGCGGCUUACUGGACUGUAACUGACGUUGAGGCUCGAAAGCGUGGGGAGCAAACAGGAUUAGAUACCCCUGUAGUC